rfam:Candidate division WWE3 bacterium RIFCSPLOWO2_02_FTLL_53_10 rifcsplowo2_02_scaffold_11324, whole genome shotgun sequence.
GCCCUCGUAGCAUAACGGAUAGUGCAGGCCUUUCCUAAAGGUCCGAUGUAGGUUCGACUCCUACCGAGGGCA